AAUUGUUAAAUCAACAACGGGAGUCACUGGGUUCAUGCUCCCCACGUAGGAUCUCUGUCCUUAAUGUGUUUAACUAUGAAACUCAAAAACAACACUACUAGUCGAACAAUACCCUAUACCUGGUUCGGUUGUGUGAGUGCAGCCUGUUGAAAUCCCUGCUUAGUAUAUACUAAGUUGAUCUUCAGUAUAUGAAGGUGAAUAAUUGAGGCCCAACCACAGAGAAAUGUCCUGCAUCACUCAAACCAGGGAGGACAAAGAUGAGGCUCUAAUUCCCACGUGCUUGAAACCACAAGCCAUGCUGUUUCACUUGCGGUGGGGAAAAGUCAGAAGGCAUCUAACAGAGUGAUUCUUGGAUUUCUGUCAACGACUUUUCCAGAAUAUAAGUUAUCACAGCAUUGGAUGGAAGUUUGCAAGCUUAAUAUUUAACUGGUUUGACUUCUAUUACAAGUGGUCUAUACUGCAAAACUACUCAGCUCCUUAUAAGAAGAAGGCCUGGGCACACAUGCAAAUAGAGGGAAGAUAAUGUGAAGAUAACAGGAGAAGCCAGAUGCCUGCAAGCCAGGAAGACAGACCUGGAAUAGUUCCUUCCCUAGUGGUCCUCAGGAGGAAACAAUGCUGCCAACAGCGUGAUGCUGCCUUGAAGCCCAGUCUUCUGAACUGUGAGGCAAUAAAUGUCUAUUGCUCAGGA